rnacentral:rRNA from 1 species
UACGUAGGGACCGAGCGUUGUCCGGAUUCAUUGGGCGUAAAGAGCUCGUAGGCGGCCGCUCAAGUCGAACGUGAAAACUCGGAGCUCAACUGCGGGCCUGCAGUCGAUACGGGCAGGCUAGAGUUCGGUAGGGGAGACUGGAAUUCCUGGUGUAGCGGUGAAAUGCGCAGAUAUCAGGAGGAACACCGGUGGCGAAGGCGGGUCUCUGGGCCGAUACUGACGCUGAGGAGCGAAAGCGUGGGGAGCGAACAGG